UGGCGGACGGGUGAGUAACGCGUGAGAAUCUGGCUUUAGGUUGGGACAACCACUGGAAACGGUGGCUAAUACCGGAUGUGCCGAAAGGUAAAAGGUUUACCGCCUGAAGAUGAGCUCGCGUCUGAUUAGCUAGUUGGUGUGGUAAGAGCGCACCAAGGCGACGAUCAGUAGCUGGUCUGAGAGGAUGAUCAGCCACACUGGGACUGAGACACGGCCCAG
rnacentral:rRNA from 1 species